GAUGAUAUGGAUUAUAUGGAAAACCACAGGAUGGCUUCUUGUUGUUGCGCACCUGAUAAUCUAGAUUUGAUUGUAGCCCGCAGGGUGGCCUCCUGUUGUGAGCACUUGAUGAUCUAGAUUGGAUGGAGACCACCGAGUUGCCUCCUGUUGAUAUGGAAAAGGAAAGAGAGAAUGGAAAAACAAUGAGAGGACUGGUCAGUGAGGAUUAGACCAGUUGGCCGUAUGGGGGAUCGGCUCCCUGGUGCACAUGUACGAGAGGGCGAGCCAUGUGUGAGGACGGCUCGUUGGGGUUUCAGGUGGUGCCACUGACUAAUUUCCACUUACUUGAUUACUUGAAGGUGACAUUACUUGUGGGUGCUAGUGUUGUGCCAUAUGAAUGACUGCAGCAUGCUCAUUUUAGAAUAUUAGGAUGCAUUUUGCGUGAAUGUGUGUGGUGUGUAUUAUUUAUUAUUAUUCACUGAGUUGCAAAACUCACCCCCCCUUCUCUCCAAACCUCUCAGGUAGUAGGAAGUCGCUGAUCCAACUGAAGCUCUGUCAUUUUCCUCGCGGAGCUACAAAAGUAAACUUAUAACUUUUGUUAUUAUAAUUUGAGAUUUGUAUUAUUAAUUACAUACACUACUUUAGUUUCAAUUAUUGUUGAACUCCGCAGUUGUAGGGUCGUGUAUUUUCAGUUGGGCCUGCCGUAUGUGUUACCUUAUAUGUAUGGUUUGUUAUGUUAUUAGGUGCAGGUGGACCAGUAUGCCAUAUUAUGAAUGUGAUUGAUUAUGAUUAGGCCCAAACUAAACUUGUUUGAGAAAAUUAAAAUUGGACCGCAUUAUGUAAAAAUUAUAUCCUAUCUUGCA
rnacentral:lncRNA from 1 species